UCUGACUCUUCAUGCAAAUCUAACACUGGUGACGAAGGUGGGAUCCUUCCAGAAGAGAAGACAACGCGGAGAAGAAGCCAAGAGAGAUGGCUGUGCUGAACACACCCCCAGCCCCGUUCAAUCCAACGGCAGAAGACUGGGACUCGUAUGCAGAUCAUUUCCAAAUGUAUUUGGAGGGAAACGAUCUCGCCGACAUUUCUGAGAAGCGGAAGAGGGUGGUCUUUCUCACCCACUGCGGUCCGGCCGUUUUCAAGAUGACGUAGGCAUUGGCGGGAGCUGCAGACGUGAAGGUAAUUGACUGGCCCGAUUUAGAAAAAUUAUUAAGAGCCCAUUACGCGCCACAAGUAUCGUGCCUCAUUAAGAGACACGAAUUCUACUGUCGGGAUCAAGGGGAAAGUGAAAACGUUAAUGACUUCAUGGCAAGUUUAAGGGACAUUGGGGGUGCAUGUGAAUUUAUCAACUUAGAAGAGGCCAUGCGUGAUCAAUUUGUUCUAGGCCUAAAAGACAAGGUUUUGCAGAGCAAAUUAUUAAUGAAACCUAAGAUCACGCUUAAGGAGGCCAUAGAAGAAGCUUCUUCAGCGGAAGCUACCAAGUCCUCAGCAGCAGCCAUGGAGAAAAUUAACAAGGCCACGAGCCAUCCUGAUGUGGAAAAAUCCACAACAACCCAUUGCGAGCAAAUAGAUUCUGAUUCAGACUGUAGCGAGGUGGAGGAAGGAAUUUAUAGACUCAGAAUGGAGAAGAAAAGGAAAGACCUUGGAAGAAAGAGGCAAGACUUUUAUUGCAGAGGUUGUGGGGGGCCCCCCCUCACUGAAUGCAAGUUUUUUGAUACCAUCUGUCUCCGUUGUGAAAAAAGAGGUCACGUAGCAAGAGUCUGCAAAUCAUCCAGAACUCCACCAAGCAGAAAGAAGUUUCCUGACAAAGAUUUCAAGCCUAACAACUUCAGUGAGAAAAUGGGGUGCAACACAGAAGCAAAUGGGAAGAAUGGAACUCAUCAAACAGUCACCAUUGGUCAUUCUUCACCCUUAAGAAGCAGAAAAGUACAUGUGAAAGUACUCAUUGAACAAAGGCCUUGCCAAAUGGAAGUGGACUCAGGCUCAUAUUUAUCUAUGGUGUCAUGGGACACUAUUCACAGGCUACUUCCCAACAUUCAGAAGAAGCAAUUCCAAAAGCAAGCACUGACUCUUAAAGACUACCAAGGGAACAAGAUUCCAGUAGGUGGAACAAGAGAAUUCAUCGUGAAGUUCAAAGGCCACACCAAACGUUUGCCCCUGACCAUCAUGGACAAGGACCGCCCAAGCUUGCUGGGACUUGAAUGGUUCAAUCCACUAGGCAUCGAGGUGACUGGCAUCAAUCACGUGAGCAACACUGAAUGGGAGGAGGCCCUGAAGUCUGAGUUUCCAGAGGUCUUCAGCAAAGGAUUGGGCAAGUAUAUGGGGACCCCUAUCACUUUCAACCUAGAUUCCAAGGUGCCC
rnacentral:lncRNA from 1 species